CUUUCUCUCUCUCUCUCUCUCUCUCUCCCUUUCUCUGUUUCUCUCUCUCUCGCUCUCUCCCUUUCUCUGUUUCUCUCUCUCAUUCGCUCUUCAAGUCUUGUCUUACUCUUCGGAUACACUUUUCCAUAGCUCAAGGUUACUUGUGUGAAUGUCUAUUUAUCACGUUUAGUUUUUCACGCCUCCUCCCACCUCAUGCCAUCACUAGUUAUUUUCUCAAUUGACUAUGGUCCUGUUCCCUAUUACUCCUGCUGAAACGCCACUUCCCCAACCAGAUGCUCGCACUCACAAAUUGUUUUCUCUUCCCAGAGAGCCAAAACGCCUCAGUCUGUGCCAGUACGACAACACUGGUGUCCGUUGUUUCUCUCCCUUUAGACUGUUCCAUGUAAACUCUAUUCUCCUUCACCACUACCAGCUUCCUCUCUCCCUGUGCGUCAGCCACGACAUUGCUGUUAUAUAGAUUUCACAUUCACAAGAACCCUGGCUUCCAAAUGAGAUUUCUAUUCUUCUAUCUUGUUGACUUUUUCCCUUUUCUUUCAUCAUCUCCAGCAAGGUUAUCCUGAGGCAGGCGGCGCUUUUAUGGAAACAAGGGGGCGUUGGCAGAGGGAUGAGGAGAUGGAGGAGAGGGGCUUCGCCGCCAGCCAUGCCAUAAUCGAUCUUGUUUAAAGGGAUGUAGUGAGCUGAAUGUUUGAACUCCUCUCCUCGUUAACAGUUGUCUGGGAUUUAAUUAAGAAGCCCAACGGAUUUAAUGUCAAUUCCAUUCCCCAAAUGAAGGAGGGAGAAAAGUCACAAAGAAAGAAAGAAAGAAAGGAGAGGCUCAUUAAAGGAGUUGCAUACAUCAUCCUAGUUGAAACAUGACCUUUUCUCUAGUUUAUUAUUUCUCUUUCCUCUUCCUGUCUCUCUUCCUGUCUCUGUAAGGGCCAUUAGCACACAUUGUCACAUCUUUUCUUUGCCGUUGGCGCACAAUAUGAGCAUAUGCAAAUGAGACAAAAUAAAGAUUUCAAUGACAUUGUCACUUUCUGGCUCCCAGUGAAUUUGUCAAGCGAAACAAGAUAUAAGGCCUGUUUCUCUACGAUUGAAGUGAUAAGCUCUUGACUUUAUAGAUUUUUUGGAAUGUCGGAAACCACAAUUAAUGCCAUCAUAUCAUCCUUACGCUGUAUCAUCAACAUGACACUGAAACAAAAGAAUGUGAAAAGAUAAAACAGACAACUCCACGGGAUGACCCACAUUAAAUACAACUUUAUUUAGGUCGGAGAACUUGUAGUUUGUUUAUGUAUAUAUAUAUAUAUAUAUAUAUAUAUAUCUGACGGUCAGUUCUGUUUCUAUUGUGUGCUGAGAGGACAAGCAUUGCCCUGUGGCCUAUGGAAGGCCAACUGUCCACAAGUCUGUUGGCACUCCAUUGGACAACAAUAAGACUGUCACCAUAACAACACUGGCCAUCCUACAGCAACAUUAUCUCUUCUUCCAACCAGCAGCACCCUCUGUUUGAGCAGCCAUAGAGGAGCACGGUGGAGUCUCAGUGAUAUAUUGCUGUUCAUUUGCGAGGAUGGGGUGAGGAUUGGAGUGAGGGACUGAGGAAGGUAGAGAGUCUGUACAUGUGACCCAGCAGUCAUAACAGUCCAGCAGUAUCUCUGUUAGUUUUGUAGUUGGCAGGAGGGGGUGGGGCUCCACCUCAAGGCGUUUUACUCCAUAUCUCCUCUGAAAGGUGUGUCCAGAUGUCUUAUCCAGAUGCUCUGCUACAGGGCUGAUGGAGGUGAGUGGGGCGUCAGUAGGUUAGGCAGGUUGGCACACCUCCAGGCCUAAGCCUGCUUUCCAGGAAGUCUUCUUGUCUUUAAUCUGACAGAUUGGAAGGAGGCUGAGGUAAAAUACUCGGAAAGCGGCGGGGGGGGUCAUGUCUCUGUAGCACUGCGAUGUGUGUGUGUUUGCGCCGGCAUGUGUGUGUUCUCACUGUGAGGGUUCAGUUGGCCUCACUGUUAAACCGAGAUUAGCCAGAUGAGCUCCGAGUUGGACGGGCGGGGAUAGAGGGAGAGAAAGAGAGAUGGAUGAGGACCUGCCCACAGUGGAGUUCAGCGCCAGGGCAGGGGAGGUAGCCCCGACACAGGAACAUGGGGGCAGAGAGGUUAGGGGAGCUGGCCAGGUCACAGUGAGAGGAGAGACACAGAGAGGAUAGGAGGGCUGGCCAGGUCACAGUAAGAGGAGAGACACAGAGAGGAUAGGAGGGUUGGUCAGGUCACAGUGAGAGGAGAGACACAGAGAGAAUAGGAGGGCAUGUUGUGGGUAGGGGGAAAGAGAGCACAGAUGGGCAGAGAGGAGUAAGAAGAGGAGUAGGAAGAGGAGUAGGAAGAGGAGUAAGAAGAGGAGUGGGAAGAGGAGUGGGAAGAGGAGUAGGAAGAGGAGUAGGAAGAGGAGUAGGAAGAGGAGUGGGAUGAGUUUAGGCCAAUGGCAGACUUCCACACACUAGUUGGUAAAUCCCAACAUUACAAACUGCGACAUGAGGCUAUACUUCCCUGCAUGCCAACUCUGAGAGGGACAGGGUCUUGCCAGCCACUACUUGCAUCAGUUUACUGUGAGACAGGGAACGUACUAUGCUUACAUGCACAAUUCUGUUGGAGUAUCUGGGUAUUCAGAUGAACUCUGUGGACCCCAGGAAGAGUAGCUGCUGCUUCUGCAAAAGCUAAUGGGGAUCCCAAUAAACAAACAAAUCAAGUGCACUUGGACUCCAAUAUGUUCUGAAUACUGUCUAGACUGUUUGCAUGCUUACUGCUGUAUAAUGAUAUUCCAUUGAUGGUUGCAUGAGGCACAUUUUCCCAAAAGGUAGCAAGCACUAACAACUAAUGCAGAGCAUUACAUCAUUUUUUGUCUUCAAUCACUUCCUUUCAUGUUUAAUUUGUUCCUAAGAGGUCCAAAACGGCCUCUUAACAAUUGCAAAUAUUCACCAGAAAGCUGUCAUGCAAACAACAGUAAUCUGAAUGUAAUGUUUACAUGCCAAAUACUGACAAAUUGUUUAGGAAAGGAGUAUUGUACACUCGUUCCACUUGAAAUUAGCUCAUUCAGAUUACUGGACUCUUGUCCAAUACGGGUGUUUACGUUUUUAAUUCAGACUCAUUGAAUUCCGACUAAUUCCAGAUUAUUAGUGUGCAUUUAAACACAGCAGGUGUGACUAUGAGGAUUGACUGUGACACAAGUGAUUAAACCAGACAGAUCUAUUUUA
ensembl:lncRNA